UGCUAACAGAGGCUUAAAUCUCAAGCUGAAGAGUGUUACCAGGAGAAGCCACAGAUGAAAUGCUGGAGGAAUUUUAUUAGAACUCCAUUUGCUCAAAGCUGACAAUUUAUUUCUCUUGGGAAAAAAAGAGGAGAAGAAAGAAUAUUCUACUACGAAGAUGUCACAGCUCAUUACCCUAUUCUGCCACAGACAAAGUGGCAGCAGAUAUUUCAAGACAAAGUUUACAGAGAAGCAGAAGGAGAGGUGGAAAAGGAGAAAGAGAGGUGCAGGAGCCAGAGAAGUCCCCUCAUCCUGGGAAGAAGUAAACGAAGUGGGUGGAGAGAGUCCUGGAGUGUUCCAUUAAUGAAACCUCCCCACAGAGAAACAGGAAGCCAAGGAUAGA